UUCCCUGCUAUGUUUUGUCACACAUCAUUGCUGGGAGAGUUCAGUGCUAUCCAAGUGACUCCCCCGGGAGAGGACAACUGGAAAUUUAUGCCUGGUGUCUUCCUGGACUCCGACCUAUGGACCUUCUUCCUUGGAUGAUUUUAACCUGUCUCCUUUUGCUGCAAUGAACCAUAACCAUAAGUAUAUCAGCUUUUCUAAUUUUUGUGAGUCCCUCAAGUGAAUUAUCAAACCUAAGGUAGUUUUGGGACCCCCAUCACAGAGAGUCAAACAGGGGCAGGGCAAGAAGAGCUGCUUUUCCUGGAAGGCUAAUGAGUCUGAACUUCGCCCUGGAGGUAAUCGUUAUAGUAACUCCAGGCUCUAACCUGGAGCUGACAUGAUAAGGUCAAAUGUACACCUCUAGAAGACUUCCGACUGCAGAGGGGAAUGGAUGGGGGAGCUGAGGGAGGAGAGCUGAAGCAGGAAGACCAUGGCCUGGAAAGAGAUGGCUGAACCAGUCCAGCCAUCCCCUUAGCCCUCUGCCCACAGUGAUCACUAACUGAUUGCUCCUCCUUAAAAGCCACCGAAAAGUGUGCUUGGCUGAUCUCCCUGACCUCAAUUUCUCUGCUGGCAGAAUCACAAGAAAGGCAUCAGCACCUUCUGUGAAAUGGGGAACCAUGCAGAGGAGGUGCCCAGGUGGCGAGGAGUCCAUGUCAGCUGCCGUCAUCCACACCACAGAUCAGACAUGGCAAAGAGUGGCCAGGCCUUCUGAGUGAAGGUGAUCCAACCUGUCACCAAGCCUAAGGGCAAAUCCUGGCUGUGCUGUGAUGGCUCCAACAACCCCAAACAGCAGCGCAGAGGCUGCAGCCGCCCUCGGAGGCAUCGCUGGGAAACGCUCAUUAGCAGCCUUCCAUUGCUCACCCGCCCCAUCCCACCUCUGUGCAUCCCAGAUCAUCAGCCAAGUGCACAGCUGGCUUCCAUCCUCGGAGCCUUCCUCCUUCAUUUGCCUAUUCAGCAGUUACAAAGGCCUGAGUUGCAAAGGGGCUUACAACCCAUUCCACCCAGAAGAAAGAGAACUGAGACUGAGCAAGACAGAGAAUGGGUGGAAGGGGAGAUGAAACCAAGCAAUCUCUAGAUCCCAAAUGGGGACCCUGAUGUAGCAAGAGCCUCUUCUAAAUCCUUUUCCAAUAGGGUAAUAUGGAAAAUAGUUGAAAGCACAAGCCAAGUGGGGCUGGAAUCCCAAAUGGGCCAUUUACUAGCUGUGUGACUGGACAAGUAAUUUCAUAUUUCUGGGCCUCGAUUUUUCUCAUCUGUAAAA
rnacentral:antisense_RNA from 1 species